rnacentral:rRNA from 1 species
AACCAGCACCUCAAGUGGUCAGGAGGAUUAUUGGGCCUAAGCAUCCGUAGCCGGCUCUGUAAGUUUUCGGUUAAAUCCAUGUGCUCAACGCAUGGGCUGCCGAAAAUACUGCAUAGCUAGGGAGUGGGAGAGGUAGACGGUACUCGGUAGGAAGGGGUAAAAUCCUUUGAUCUAUCGAUGACCACCUGUGGCGAAGGCGGUCUACCAGAACACGUUCGACGGUGAGGGAUGAAAGCUGGGGGAGCAAACCGG